CCUACGGUUGGCAGCAGUGAGGAAUAUUGGUCAAUGGGCGUAAGCCUGAACCAGCCAAGUCGCGUGAGGGAUGAAGGUUCUAUGGAUCGUAAACCUCUUUUAUAAGGGAAUAAAGUGUGGGACGUGUCCUAUUUUGUAUGUACCUUAUGAAUAAGGAUCGGCUAACUCCGUGCCAGCAGCCGCGGUAAUACGGAGGAUCCGAGCGUUAUCCGGAUUUAUUGGGUUUAAAGGGUGCGUAGGCGGCCUUUUAAGUCAGCGGUGAAAGUCUGUGGCUCAACCCGGGCCUUGCAGCGCGAACUGGCGUGCUGGAGUCCGCGGAAAGCAGGCGGAAUUCGUCGUGUAGCGGUGAAAUGCUUAGAUAUGACGAAGAACCCCGAUUGCGAAGGCAGCUUGCUGCAGCGGAACUGACGCUGAUGCUCGAAAGCGCGGGUAUCGAACAGGAUUAGAUACCCUGGUAGUC
rnacentral:rRNA from 1 species